GGAUAUCACCGAAGAGGACUUAGAAAAUGUUGCCAUAACUGUUCGAGAUAAAAUCUAUGAUAAAGUUCUGGGUAACACGUGCCAUCAGUGUCGACAAAAGACCAUCGACACCAAGACAGUGUGUCGGAACCAGGGUUGCUGUGGUGUGCGAGGACAGUUCUGUGGACCAUGCCUGCGGAACCGCUAUGGGGAGGAUGUCAGAUCGGCAUUGCUGGACCCGGUAGGAGCAGUGUUUGCAUUUGUUGUAAAUUGUACUGGUGAAGGAAGCAAGCUGAAGAUGGCCCUCCUGGGUUCUCACCGGGAACUGGGAGCUCCGGAACUCUGGUUUUUCGCUUCCAUUUGUAUCUUAAGUCUCCAGGGAAAAUGAAAAAUAGGGAUUCCUUCUGGAAGGAGAGCAAGCUGACCAGUGAAUAGAAGAAUUUAUGUUAGAUUUUCCAUUGUCAGAGCAAAACUUGCUCACAGUCCUCUAGUUUUGUACAAGUAAUCCCUGUACCUGUCCUUCAGCAAAGUGAUUUCCCUCUGAUUUGUUUUUCCUGGGCCAGGCUGAGAGGGAGGUGGAG
rnacentral:sRNA from 1 species